rnacentral:rRNA from 1 species
GACGAACGCUGGCGGCGUGCUUAACACAUGCAAGUCGAACGAAGUGGCGAACGGGUGAGUAACGCGUAAUCAACCUGCCCUUCAGAGGGGGACAACAGUUGGAAACGACUGCUAAUACCGCAUACUGAAGGAGGGGAUGGCGGCUGAUUAGCUAGUUGGAGGGGUAACGGCCCACCAGGGCGAUGAUCAGUAGCAGGUCUGAGAGGAGUAACGGCAAGAUUGGGACUGGGACACGGCCCAUACUUCUACGGGAAGCAGCAGUGGGGAAUCUUCCGCUAUGGGCGAAAGUCUGACGGAGCAACGCCGAGUGAGUGAUGACGGCCUUCGGGGUGUAAAGCUCUGUUAAGCGUGACGCGGUUCCGGAAUAGGAAGCCAAGGCUAACUACGUGCCAGCAGCCGCGGUAAUAC